UACGUAGGGUGCAAGCGUUGUCCGGAAUUAUUGGGCGUAAAGAGCUCGUAGGCGGUCUGUCACGUCGGCUGUGAAAACCCGAGGCUCAACCUCGGGCCUGCAGUCGAUACGGGCAAACUAGAGUACUGCAGGGGAGACUGGAAUUCCUGGUGUAGCGGUGAAAUGCGCAGAUAUCAGGAGGAACACCGGUGGCGAAGGCGGGUCUCUGGGCAGUAACUGACGCUGAGGAGCGAAAGUGUGGGGAGGCGAACAGG
rnacentral:rRNA from 1 species